UACGGAGGGUGCAAGCGUUGCUCGGAAUUAUUGGGCGUAAAGGGUAGGUAGGUGGUCUUAUUUGUCUGGGGUGAAAGCCUUGAGCUUAACUCAAAAAGUGCCCCAGAAACGGUGAGACUAGAGUCCUGGAGAGGGUCGUGGAAUUCCCGGUGUAGCGGUGAAAUGCGUAGAGAUCGGGAGAAACACCAGAGGCGAAAGCGGCGACCUGGACAGGUACUGACACUCAACUACGAAAGCGUGGGGAGCAAACAGG
rnacentral:rRNA from 1 species